rnacentral:lncRNA from 9 species
GUGGCCUCCAGGAGGGAGGGUCGGGACCUGAGGCUGAAAGGUAGGCGGGGACCAGGGGAGGCUGGCCCAGGGCCCACGCUCGCCCCAAGAAAAGUUCUGGUCCCUGGAGUCCUGGCUCCAGCGUUGGCUCCGACUGGAGCUCCCUCUGCUCCCAGCUCCUUCUCCGACUCCAGUGGCUGCUCUGGCAGACCGGCUUGGCUGUGGGUAUUAAUAGCUCCACAUUCACGCUGAGAAGCCUGGAGGUUAACUCCUUCCCUGCCAGAGCUGGGAGGCUGCGGGGCUGGUGGCCACAGGGAGCAGAGGGAAGGCGGCGCUUGAGUUCCGCCCCCGCCUGAGCCUGGCCCGCCUCUCGCCAGAUCCUCCGAUGCCACCUCCUGCCUGAUGCCACCUCCUGCCUGCGUUGGUGCAGCGCUCAGCAUAUGGAUCUUGGACAGUGCGCCCUGGCCACCUGAACCUGCCCUGCAUACCUCCACAGAGCCUGGACACAGGUUCAAUCCCUGCCUUCCCUGGUACAUCGGGCUAAAGAAUCUGGUGUUGCUUCAGCUACUGCGUAGUUCACAACGGCAGCCUGAAUCUGAUCCCUGGCCCAGGAACUCCAUACGCUGCGGGGCAGCCAAGAAAAAAGAAAGGAACUAAAAAGAACAUUGCAGACGGAGGAUCACCGCCUUCCAAGACGGCAACUGGCAAUGGGAAGGUCCCCUUGGGCCUUUCAUGCCCUAGUUCUGUGUCUAUCCGUGGGGACUCAUAGAAAGGAAAUAGAGUCCUUCCCCUGCUUAUAGCAGCUCUUCCAUUGUUGGAGACCAUGGAACAGCCGAAUUCUGCAGAAGGCAAAUACCUAUGGACUCAGAGUUCUAACCACAGAGUCUCCUUCAAAGACAAGAUGAAGGACUUAUGCAUUAACCACCCCUUAUUCUGUAAACAGCUGCCCUAUGUCCUAAGGAUACCCCCUCUGAUAUGCUCUUGAGAAGAUAAUCUCGUUAUUGCCUAUGCCUGUCCCUGCCCACUAAUCUCGACACCUUCUUUAAUCCCAUCCAUUAACAAUAAUCUCAUCACCUUCCUUAAUAAAAAUCGUGUGGGCUAAAGCCUAGGCGCCUUUGUUCUGUGGAACAGAGUGCCUUCCGGUCCCCCACUUUCUAAACGUAAGUCUUGUGUGUUCUGCGAUACCGCGCCGUCCCUCUUCCAGGAUUC